GUCUUUUUGAGUUAUUUUUAAAGUCUGGCCUGCCCGCUGAAUUUUUGAAUGGCCGCAGUAUUUUAACUGUGCAAAGGUAGCAUAAUCAUUAGUCUUUUAAUUGAAGGCUGGUAUGAACGGUUGGACGAGGUAUAAGCUGUUUCAUGUAAAUUUACAGUAGAAUUUUAUAUUUUAGUUAAAAAGCUAAAAUGAGGUUAAAAGACGAGAAGACCCUAUAAAUCUUUAUAUUUUAUAUAGUUUAAAUUUUUUUGGUUUUUUUUAUUUUUAUUAUAUAGGAUAUUUUGUUGGGGUGAUGUUAAAAUUUGAUUAACUUUUAAUUUUUUUAAAUCAUUAAUUUAUGAGUUAUUGAUCCGUUAAUAGCGAUUAUAAGAUUAAGUUACUUUAGGGAUAACAGCGUAAUUUUUUUGGAGAGUUCAUAUCGAUAAAAAAGUUUGCGACCUCGAUGUUGGAUUAAGAUAUAGUUUUAGGUGUAGCCGCUUAAAGAUUAAGUCUGUUCGACUUUUAAAUUCUU
rnacentral:rRNA from 1 species